UUUUACACUUGAGGACAUUGGGGUUCAGAGGCCUCUGCCCCCCUCAUCCACCCUCAGGGAUCCCCUUCAGGCCUCUCCAUGAACUUUGUCAUAACCCACCUUCCCCCAUUUCAGGUGCCCUCUGUGGACCAUGUCCUGCACCAGCUAAAAGGUGUCCCCGAGGCCAACUUCUCCAGCAUGGUCCAGGAGGAGAACAGCACCUUCAACGCCCUUCCAGCCCUGGCUGCCAUGCAGACAUCCAGCGUGGUGCAAGAGCUGAAGAAGGCAGUGGCCCAGCAGCCGGAAGGGGUGAGGACACUGGCUGAAGGGUUCCCGGGCUUGGAGGCAGCUUCCCACUGGGCCCAGGCACUGCAGGAGGUGGAGGAGAGCAGCCGCCCCUACCUGCAGGAGGUGCAGAGAUACGAGACCUACAGGUGGAUCGUGGGCUGCGUGCUGUGCUCCGUGGUCCUAUUCGUGGUGCUCUGCAACCUGCUGGGCCUCAAUCUGGGCAUCUGGGGCCUGUCUGCCA
rnacentral:sRNA from 1 species